rnacentral:misc_RNA from 1 species
GAUGAAGAACGUAGCGAAAUGCGAUAAGUAAUGUGAAUUGCAGAAUUCAGUGAAUCAUCGAAUCUUUGAACGCACAUUGCGCCCCCUGGUAUUCCGGGGGGCAUGCCUGUUCGAGCGUCAAUUCACCACUCAAGCCUCGCUUGGUAUUGGGCAACGCGGUCCGCCGCGUGCCUCAAAUCGUCCGGCUGGGUCUUCUGUCCCCUAAGCGUUGUGGAAACUAUUCGCUAAAGGGUGUUCGGGAGGCUACGCCGUAAAACAACCCCAUUUCUAAGGUUGACCUCGGAUCAGGUAGGGAUACCCGCUGAACUUAAGCAUAUCAAUAAGCGGAGGA